AACACAUCACAAAAAUAAUGUAGAAAUACUGUUUGUAAAAAUCUGGGACAAUGUAAAAUCAUUCAAAUGAUUCCGAACCUAAAACAUAAAAAAUCAGGUGACUCAGCAGUAGAAUCAUUACAUUUUAUUUCUUGAGAUAGCAAACAGAUUAGAUAGCAAGAAGACUAUGGCAUCAAAGAAAGAGAACACCAGUAACACCAGAAACAGAAUGAAUCUUUUGGAGUGCUCUUUCUGCUCAAGUCAGAUCAAAGAAUAUGCCUCAUGCACACAGAUUAAGGUCUCAAAUUGAUACAAGAUAUAAGCGACUCCUGCAUUGUUGCGGGCUACAUUUAUUCUCAACUGGUUUGGUUCGUUUUUUGAACCUAACAAGAAUGGAGUGAGAUUAUUGCCACCUGUAUUUCGGUUCCAACCAACAGAAGAGGAGUUUCUAUUUCAGUAUUUGAAAUGUAAGGUUUUCUCUUUUCAGUUGCCAGCUUCAAUCAUUUCUGAGAUCAAUGUUUGCAACUACGAUCCAUGAGAUUUGCCAGGGAAUAAUAAUAAUUAUGGGGAGCAAGAAGAUAGAUACUUGUUCAGCUCAAAGGAAGUUAAGUAUAGAAACGGUAACCGAAUGAACAGAAUAACGAAAUCUGGAUAUUGGAAAGCAACUGGAUCAGACAAAAGAAUAAUUUCAACAUCAUGUAAUAAUAAUAAUAAUAGUAAUAUUGUUGGGAUAAGAAAAACUCUUGUAUUCUAUCAUGGAAAAUCUCCAAAUGGCUCUAGAACUCAUUGGAUCAUGCGUGAGUAUCGACUUGUCACUACUCAUUCUAAUUCAUCCCAGGU